rnacentral:rRNA from 1 species
GCCUGCCCACUGAGGGUAUUUAAAGGCCGCGGUAUUAUGACCGUGCGAAGGUAGCAUAAUCAUUAGUCUUUUAAUUGAGGGCUGGUAUGAAGGGUCGGACGAGAAAUGAGCUGUCUUAAAUUUUGAAAAUUGAAUUUAACUUUUAAGUGAGAAGGCUUAAAUAGGCUAGGGGGACGAUAAGACCCUAUAAAGUUUGACACUAAAUUAAUUAGGGGUGAUUUAGACAGUAAAGUCUUAUUAUUAUAUAAGUGUUUAGUUGGGGCGACUAGGAUAUAAGUUAUUUAACUGUUUCUUCAUUCGAAUCAAAAAUUUUUGAUUUUAUGGUCCUUUUUUAGGAUAUUAGAGUAAAUUACUUUAGGGAUAACAGCGUAAUUUUUUUUGAGAGUUCUUAUCGAUAAGAGAGUUUGCGACCUCGAUGUUGAAUUAAAAUUUCUUUGUAAUGCAGCAAUUACAAGAGAGGGUCUGUUCGACCUUUAAAUUUUUACAUGAUUUGAGUU